GAUGAACGCUGGCGGCGUGCCUAAUACAUGCAAGUCGAGCGAAUGGAUUAAGAGCUUGCUCUUAUGAAGUUAGCGGCGGACGGGUGAGUAACACGUGGGUAACCUGCCCAUAAGACUGGGAUAACUCCGGGAAACCGGGGCUAAUACCGGAUAACAUUUUGAACCGCAUGGUUCGAAAUUGAAAGGCGGCUUCGGCUGUCACUUAUGGAUGGACCCGCGUCGCAUUAGCUAGUUGGUGAGGUAACGGCUCACCAAGGCAACGAUGCGUAGCCGACCUGGGAGGGUGAUCGGCCACCAUGGGACUGAGACAAGGCCCAGACUCCUACGGGAGGCAGCAGUAGGGAAUCUUCCGCAAUGGACGAAAGUCUGACGGAGCAACGCCGCGUGAGUGAUGAAGGCUUUCGGGUCGUAAAACUCUGUUGUUAGGGAAGAACAAGUGCUAGUUGAAUAAGCUGGCACCUUGACGGUACCUAACCAGAAAGCCACGGCUAACUACGUGCCAGCCGCCGCAGUAA
rnacentral:rRNA from 1 species